GACAGAGGUUGCAACCGUUGUUCGGAAUUACUGGGCAUAAAGAGCUCGUAGGCGGUCUGUCGCGUCGGCCGUGAAAUCUCCACGCUUAACGUGGAGCGUGCGGUCGAUACGGGCAGACUUGAGUUCGGUAGGGGAGACUGGAAUUCCUGGUGUAGCGGUGAAAUGCGCAGAUAUCAGGAGGAACACCGGUGGCGAAGGCGGGUCUCUGGGCCGAUACUGACGCUGAGGAGCGAAAGCGUGGGGAGCGAACAGG
rnacentral:rRNA from 1 species